GCCAGCGGGUCAUGCCGGGACUCAUGGGAGACUGCCGGGGUCAACUCGGAGGAAGGUGGGAUGACGUCAAAUCAUCAUGCCCCUUAUGUCUUGGGCUUCACGCAUGCUACAAUGGCCGGUACAAAGGGCUGCGAUACCGGCGAGGUGGAGACGAAUCCCAGAAAGCCGGUCUCAGUUCGGAUUGGGGUCUGCAACUCGACCCCAUGAAGUCGGAGUCGCUAGUAAUCGCAGAUCAGCAACGCUGCGGUGAAUACGUUCCCGGGUCUU
rnacentral:rRNA from 1 species